GGGGACAACAUCCCGAAAGGGGUGCUAAUCCGAAAUGUUGUAGCGACUUCGCAUGAAGUUGCUACUAAAGGUGGGCCUCUGAAUAUGCUACCGCUAGAAGAUGAGCCUGCGUCUGAUUAGCUAGUUGGAGGGGUAACGGCCCACCAAGGCUUCGAUCAGUAGCCGGUCUGAGAGGAUGAACGGCCACACUGGGACUGAGACACGGCCCAGACUCCUACGGGAGGCAGCAGUGGGGAAUCUUCCGCAAUGGACGAAAGUCUGACGGAGCAACGCCGCGUGAGUGAAGAAGGUUUUCGGAUCGUAAAGCUCUUUCGUUAGGGACGAACGUGCUCUUUGUGAAUAAUGGAGAGUAAUGACGGUACCUAAAUAAGAAGCCACGGCUAACUACGUGCCAGCAGCGGC
rnacentral:rRNA from 1 species